CAACCGACUCAGAUCACAAAACUAAUCCAUUAAGACGACUGAAAGGAAUCGAACUUGCAGGACUCUGCACAAAACAAAAUCUAAACCUAAGAACUCUGAAGGGUUGUUGCUGAACAAUACAUCCUUAUUUAUAUUUAAUAUUUUACUAACAACUUUCGCUGCAGAAUUUUUGAACCGUUACAACAAUCAAACGAGACUAUCAUGAUCCCUCAAUACGGCAGACAAACUAGCAGGAAUACGAAGACUGAAAUUGUUGGUCGAAUCAUUUAUGGCACUUUUCGUGUCAAGCUGAAUUAAAAAUGAAAAAUCUAAACGACUCGAAAACUGAAGGAAAAGCUGAUACACAGCAGACUAAAAUACCGUCACUCUUCAAAUUGUACCUAUUGAUUUAUACUGAUUGUUCCAUGCAGUCAUGGAAAACGGGAUUGGAAUCAUUUUGCGACCAUUCACUUUCAUCACCGUCGAACUCAUCAGAAACUACACACACCAUCAUCGUCAGAAUCACUAAUUACUCAUCUCUGCACAUUUCGAAAUCGUCUUUCUAUGAUAUCACUUCCACUGUCCGACGAUUUAUUAUCACUGUUACUUAACGAUACUUAAUAUCAAAGUUACUAUAGUUAUAAUUAUCUAUGCCCGACAAUAGAUCUGCGUAUAUUUCCUCGUCAUUAUGAGAUGUUGUAUAGGGAAACAGUAUUAUCGAGACAGCAUAUAUUUUACAAUUAUAAAAUGUUUCGUGAAAUGAAAAUCAGCUGAUCUUAGUUAUUACGUUCGGGAAGCAGCGAACUGUUUUUAGCGAAUUUACCUAAAAUGAGUUAUGGAAAUAGCGCCACAUACGAGUAAUGCGGUUCGACGACAGAUAGCAGAGUAAAGUCACGACUACGUGACACCAGACGACAACCGCCAGCUGUCAUAGGUGAAUGGAGUAUUAUUAAUUGUUGGGUUUUAAUAGCACAGCGCACACAUUCGUACGAAGGAAAAGAAAAUUUAUAUUAUAUAUGAAAAGUAUAUAUUAUAGGUAAAUAAGAACUAUAAUCUAACUUUAACUCGUUAACUAUUGGACGUAUCAAAAAAACGAUUUAAACUACUUAUGUUACAUUCGGAGAAACUCAUUUGUUUUGCGCCAAUUUGUUUAUUUUGUUAUUGACGAAAGGUUGUACGUAGGUGUGGAUGUUGAUGUUUCUAAUUGGUGGAAAGUGUGCUAAUUUAAAUUACAUUGUAAUUUGUUUACAUUAUACUACAAUUUCGUAGUAAUUCAAUUAGCUGUAAUUACAAUAUCGUAAUGAUCCUCUCUAAGAGCAUUUUCUCAUCUUGAAGGUUCAUAAGGUCCUCGAACGUUUUCCAUUGUUUGAUGUUUAGGAUCAACCCUAUAAGCAACAUCUAUAUGUUUAUACAUAAAUAUCCAUAAUAUUUACCCUGAACGUUCGCGUGUGUCGUAUACGUUAAACGAUAAUGUCAUAAAUUAUUCUUUGACAACAGUACCGUACCUCAUAUUUGACAUCUUAGAUAACAAAGAGAAGUGAUAUUUCCUAAACAU
rnacentral:misc_RNA from 1 species